rnacentral:rRNA from 1 species
UACGAAGGGUGCAAGCGUUGCUCGGAAUUAUUGGGCGUAAAGGGUAGGUAGGUGGUCUUAUUUGUCUCAGGUGAAAUCCUUGGGCUCAACCCGAGACGUGCCUGAGAAACGGUAAGACUAGAGUAAUAGAGGGGUUUGUGGAAUUCCCGGUGUAGCGGUGAAAUGCGUAGAGAUCGGGAGGAACACCAGCGGCGAAGGCGGCAAACUGGAUAUUAACUGACACUCAACUACGAAAGCGUGGGGAUCAAACAGG